UACGGAGGGUGCGAGCGUUGUCCGGAAUCACUGGGCGUAAAGGGCGCGUAGGCGGCCUGAUAAGUAGGGGGUGAAAUCCUGCGGCUUAACCGCAGGACUGCCUUCUAAACUGUCAGGCUUGAGCACAGUAGAGGCAGGUGGAAUUCCCGGUGUAGCGGUGGAAUGCGUAGAGAUCGGGAAGAACAUCAGUGGCGAAGGCGGCGUGCUGGGCUGUUGCUGACGCUGAGGCGCGACAGCGUGGGGAGCAAACAGG
rnacentral:rRNA from 1 species